UUUGAUUGCGUGAGUGCACUUUUUUUGGGGGAAAUAUGAAAUGAUCAUUGCUUUAAAAAAAAUUGGAUUUGAUUCUUCUCUGGACCAGUCCAGUUGGAGACAGUUUAUUGUUCCUUUCCAAAGAUGAUGUUAUGGUACCAAUUAGUGCAGUGUUCAAUGUAAUUACAAUAACAACAAUCUAGCGGAAUCUCACAAGUGGAGUAUGGGUAGUGUGUCGUAGACCUUACCCUUACUCUGGAAGAGUAGAGAGGUUGUUUCCGAUAGACCCUCGGCUCACAAUGAUGCAAAGAGACAAUGGAGUAGUAACAUCGAAGGAAGUCA
rnacentral:lncRNA from 1 species